rnacentral:rRNA from 1 species
CCUACGGGAGGCAGCAGUGGGGAAUAUUGCACAAUGGGGGGAACCCUGAUGCAGCCAUGCCGCGUGAAUGAAGAAGGCCUUCGGGUUGUAAAGUUCUUUCGGUGACGAGGAAGGUUGGUAUGUUAAUAGCAUAUCAAAUUGACGUUAAUCACAGAAGAAGCACCGGCUAACUCCGUGCCAGCAGCCGCGGUAAUACGGGGGGUGCGAGCGUUAAUCGGAAUAACUGGGCGUAAAGGGCACGCAGGCGGUGACUUAAGUGAGAUGUGAAAGCCCCGGGCUUAACCUGGGAAUUGCAUUUCAUACUGGGUCGCUAGAGUACUUUAGGGAGGGGUAGAAUUCCACGUGUAGCGGUGAAAUGCGUAGAGAUGUGGAGGAAUACCGAAGGCGAAGGCAGCCCCUUGGGAAUGUACUGACGCUCAUGUGCGAAAGCGUGGGGAGCAAACAGGAUUAGAUACCCCAGUAGUC